CAAUAGCGUAUAUUAAAGUUGUUGCGGUUAAAAAGCUCGUAGUUGGAGUUCUGCCAGGUGCCGCCUGUCCGCCCCAGUGGUGAGUACGUGGCGCGCAUUUGGCCCUUUCAAGGGGAGCGUAUCUGCACUUUAUUGUGUGGUGCGGGAUCCUUGACUUUUACUUUGAGGAAAUAGGAGUGUUCCAAGCAGGCUCUCGUCGUGCACAGCUCAGCAUGGAAUAAUAGCAUUGGACCUCGAUUCUAAGCUGUUGGUUGCCAGAAGCGAGGUAAUGAUGAAGAGGGAUAGUUGGGGGCAUUCGUAUUUAACUGUCAGAGGUGAAAUUCUUGGAUUUGUUAAAGACGGACCACUGCGAAAGCAUCUGCCAUGGAUGUUUUCAUUGA
rnacentral:rRNA from 1 species